UAAAGUCCUGUUUAUGUUGUAUAGCUUUGUUUACAAAUUAAGUGUUCUUCUGUUUCUGGGAGAAAUAUAAACAAUGCUCCUCCAAGAAACUAAUGUACACUCUAUUUCUAAACAUAUAUACCUUUAUUGGCAGCUAAAUAAGAACGGGCUCUGAUGUGACCAUUGGGGUUCCACAAUCCACCUAGUGAUGUGCAUUCAGUUGAUUCGUUUUUGGGUCGUUUUUCCUAUAAUUUCUUGAAAAGCAAUGUUUUCAAAAUUGUUUAUUCUAAACAUUUGUUUUCGUCAAACUACGUCAAAUUUUGACCCUGACAGAUUUAUGCAAAACACGAUGUAAAAACGAUCCGAAAACAUUAUACAGUUUUUAAAUCUUGAACGUUUAUUAAUUUUUUUCUUUUAUGAACGAUAAACAACAAUAGUUUCACAUUCUGAUCCUAUGAUUAUACCAGGAACCUUAUAUCUAAUGGUAGGAAUGUUAACAAUAUUCCUCGCAGAGACUGGAGUACACUUAUAUGAAAACUAAGAUUAUUAGGGUUGCUGGACUCUGGGAUAUUUUUUGGUUAUAGCUAUUUUGUAUUAUUUUAUUAUCUUUAAUUCAAAAGACCUCAAACGUUUUCAAGAACAUGAUUAUUUAAAGAUAAGAUGGAUAUCGAACGUUUUUAAAAUCUAAUUAAAACAUAAUCUUUAUUGUGAAAAGACCAGGUGAUACUCAAUAAAUUUACACACAAAUGACAAACUAAAUUUAUGCUUAAAUCUUUCCCUACAGCUUGCAUAGAAUUGGCCGAAUAGAAAAAAGAUGAAGCUAGAUUGUUAAGCUCAUCACUUAAGUGAAUAAUAUGCUUUAAAUUUGUAAAAUUCGAUCCAGUGUAAGUUGUAUUUGCUUCCAUUUUAGAUUUCUGCAGCUUAUUUUAUAUAAAAUUAAAGCAUUUAGUAUUUUAUUGUAGACAUUUUUACUGUGAUGUAAAUGCAUUUAUGAUAUUUCACAAAUAUUCAGCUGUACGGUGUACACUAUAAAUUUUAGAAAAAAUGGCGGGAUUGGACCAGAACCGCGGCAAAAAUUCUGUUCUGCGGCAUGUUAAUUUAAACUCUGUCCAACAACCGGGUUUAAGGGAAAGAGGUCAGGUAGGUCAAGUAGGUCAAGGGGGUCAGGUGGGCGUUCUUCAGCUCGGCUCUCCACUAAUCCUUGAUGGAAGAAAGUGUAUUGAAAUCUCAGAUAGAAAUUAUAAUCGGUCCAGUCCUGUCAGUGUCAGUAACCAAGGACUGUCUCAGG